ensembl:misc_RNA Y_RNA Y RNA
GGCUGGUCCGAAAGUGGUGAGUUAUCUCACUUGAUUGUUCACUGUCAGCUACAGAUUCAACUCCUUGUUCUACUACUUUGCCACCUGCUCACUACUGCACUUGACUAGUCUUAA